AAACUCAGAAUUAUACACUUAUCUCAGCUGAAAACCCUUGACCAUCUUCAACCUCAAGAACACCAUAUGCAACACAAUCUUACAAGUGCCAUAACUUCUUCGUUUUUGGUCUGAUUGAGGUGAUUCUUGCGGCCACGGAACGAGGGGAACGAGCUCUACACAUCUAUCCCUAUCAAUUGAGACUUGAAGAGGCGACUACCAAUGGAACCCGGAACUUACAAAACGCAAUAUCGCUUAGCUGUUAUCGAAGGAUAUGGAUAGCAAGCAUGUGUUUUUCAGGUACCUAGAUUCUGAACUUGGCUAGAAGUUCGUCUUUAACCGGAAGUUCCUUUGUCUAUGUAUAGCCCCGACUUCCGUAGAUGCUGCAGUAGUGUGAUGUCUGACCAGUGUAGCAGUGAAAUUUUAUAUGGUUUAUAGUUGCUGUCAGUUUGUAUAUAUUUGUUUGGCCACGAUAGUUAUGCUUUGUACCACGGAGGUAGAUUCCCGUGAUGUAACUUUGACACUAGUAGUAUAUGCCAGGUUAGUACGUACAAGGUACGGAAACGAUAGACCCGAGCAAGUUGUAAUGUUUUACCAGUGCAAAUAAAUGUGUCUUUGUUAAA